GGUCGAUUAGUUAAAAGAGUAUAACACGGACCUUGUAAGUCUGAAUAAUCAGUGCAAUUCUGAUAUUGACCUC
rnacentral:tRNA from 1 species